GAACGCAGUCGUGAAUCAUCGAAUCUUUGAACGCACAUUGCGCUGUGUGGCAUUCCGCACAGCAUGCCUGUUUGAGCAAUAUUUC
rnacentral:rRNA from 1 species